rnacentral:rRNA from 1 species
GACAGAGGUGCCAAGCGUUAGGCGGAAUCACUGGGCUUAAAGCGUGUGUAGGCGGAUUGGUAAGUACCUUGUGAAAUCCCACGGCUCAACCGUGGAACCGCUGGGUAUACUGCGGGUCUUGGGCCGACUAGGGGCAGCCGGAACAAGCGGUGGAGCGGUGAAAUGCGUAGAUAUCGCUUGGAACGCCAAUGGUGAAAACAGGUAGCUGGGGCUGUGCUGACGCUGAGACACGAAAGCCAGGGGAGCAAACGGG